UAGCGUAUGCUAAUUCUGCUGCGGUUAAAAAGCUCGUAGUUGGAUCUCGGCAAGUAGGGGGCGGUUCGAUAUUUGUCGCUACUGCCCCAUUUACUUGUGUUUUUGGCCGAGGUCGGCGGGUGCUCUUAACCGAGUGUCUGUUCGGCGCGGCCAGGUUUACUUUGAAAAAAUUAGAGUGCUCAAAGCAGGCUUUACACGCUUGAAUAUUCGUGCAUGGAAUAAUAGAAUAGGACGUCGUUUCUAUUUUGUUGGUUUUCGGAAAUCGACGUAAUGAUUAAUAGGGACAGUCGGGGGCAUUAGUAUUCAGACGAC
rnacentral:rRNA from 1 species